rnacentral:ncRNA from 1 species
UCUUAUCAAGAGAGGUGGAGGGACGGGCCCGAUGAAACCCGGCAACCUCAGCCUGGGGGCUGAAAGGUGCUAAUCCCCGCAGAGUCUUUCUGAGGGAUGAGA